UACGAAGGGGGCUAGCGUUGUUCGGAAUCACUGGGCGUAAAGCGCACGCAGGCGGCUUGAUAAGUCAGGGGUGAAAUCCCGGGGCUCAACCUCGGAAUUGCCUUUGAUACUGUCUAUCUUGAGUUCGGGAGAGGUUGGCGGAAUUCCUAGUGUAGAGGUGAAAUUCGUAGAUAUUAGGAAGAACACCAGUGGCGAAGGCGGCCAACUGGCCCGAUACUGACGCUCAUGUGCGAAAGCGUGGGGAGCAAACAGG
rnacentral:rRNA from 1 species